UCAGGACACAGCAUGGCCAUGAAGACCCCUACUCAGGCCCUGGCAAUUUGGCUACUCUGGUUCUCAGCUGCCAACUGUGACAUUCAAGUGACACAGUCUCCCCCCUCCCUGACAGCAUCUCUAGGAGACAAAGUGACCAUCACUUGCCUGGCAAGUCAGGGCAUUAGCAAUGAGCUAAACUGGUACCAGCAGAAACCAGGAAAAGCUCCUAAAUUACUGGUUUAUAAUGGAAAUAGUUUGCAAUCUGGUGUCCCAUCAAGGUUCAGUGGCCAAUAUUCUGGGAGAAGUUUCACUCUAAGCAUCAGCAGCCUGGAGCCUGAAGAUGCUGGAACUUAUUUUUGUCUACAGCAUUACAGUGCUCCUCACACAGUGACACACGCCAUGACAUAA